rnacentral:lncRNA from 1 species
UUCGUUCUCACAGCUGAGAGAAAACAGCAGUGCAGAGAGGUUAUGUGACUUGCUGGAUCGCAGGUCCCCAGCGAGCGAGGACUGGGAGUCACCUCGCACGGCCCUCCACAAAUAUUUGAUGCUCCAGCUUCUUGAGUCAAUUAUCCCUUUCGGAAAACUGGAGAGAGAAAUGAUAUAAUUAACUACCUGAGAGAAAAUGAGCAGAGCAGCAAGCUAUAAAUACCAAGACACACGACGGAGACUGAAACCCCGGGGCCCCACUUGACCUUACCCAGUUAAGAGUGGUCUGAGGCCUCCCUGGUUGGAAGAAACCAGUGAGGCCAAGCCCAGCUCAUGCUCAGAGCCGCAGCCUUCACAUAGCAUGGCAAGAAGCGGCUCAGCCAGCCCCCAGGCCCCAGGGCCAGCAGGCCAGGAAGCAACACCCUCUGCCCGUCUCUGCCAAGUGGCCGGGAUCAGAAUCAACAGGCCAGAAGGGCUAAUUCUUCCCUCACACACUGUGCCCAGGACCAGAUGCUCUGCCCCGAGUGUGGGGCCUGGACACAGUUGCGUCGCUGGAUCCUUCCACCCCAUCUUCAACCACGGACCAGAUAAACGGAGUUGAACACACUUCAAAGCCAACACUGAGCACGGCCAUCUGGGAUUCAUUCCUGAGCGGGCCUUUUCCAGUUAUGUAACCAGGGAGAUCCAGACAGAGAGACACAGAUUGGAAGAAGUUUCCUUUUUUUUAAACUCCGAACCUUUACAGUAUUGGGAUAAUUAUGGCUUUCAUAGCGUUGAUUACUUUAAGCUGUCAGUAAUUUGAGUCUUUUUCAGAAUCAGUGACCAGCUUUCUGUAAUUGUGUUCUCUCUCCCCACUUCCAUCCGUAAGUAAAGGAAACACAAUCCCCAGCUCACGGGGUUUCCCUCCCAGCACCUCGCCCGGGCACUUCGCUGCCACGCCCGAAGGCCGCAGUGGACACACCUUCCCGGCGUCCUCCGGGCUCGUGACACACUUGCUUCCCGAGGCACAGUCUUAUUAGGGAACGUCCAUUCCUCCCCGAACUGAAGGAAGGAGCCGGGUGAAGCCUGGGGUGGCCGGGCCUUUUGCUGUGAAUCAUUCAGGAUCACCCAAAACGUUCUGGUUCACGGAUAGAGGGCACUGGCAAAUACGAGAUACUUUAAGAAAUGGUAUUUGCCACACAUUUGCAAUUUUUAAAUGUUUUCUUUUCUGAUUAUGUAACUAAUACCUGUCAGUGUGAAAAUUCUCAGCAGUGUGAAGAAGAAAAUAAUUAUCCCAAAUCCUUGCCUGGGAGAAUUGUUCAAACAAAAAGUGACGCUAACAUUUUAGCACAUUGCCCUCCAGCCUUCACCUUGGGUAUGUUUGCAUUUCUAGAGUUGAAACUAUAUUUUAUAGUUUUAUAAUUUUGUAUCUUGCAUUUCUCCUUAACAAUUUGCCCACAUAAUAAAAAAAUGUUUAACCUUAGUUUUCAAUAGCAACACAGGUUCAAAUGAAGUCAAUGUAUAAUUUUUUUAAAAAAUCAAAUCCUGUAUUAUAGUUCAAAGGCUGUGUCCAACAUUUAAAUCCACACUGAAUUUCUUUGGCUGUAAAUUUCUAUCUGUAUUUCUUAUUGCUUUCAUAGAAGCUAUUCCCAGAAGGGUAAUCAACUCUGCAUCAAAGAGCAUGAAAAUUGUUUAAUGUUCUAAUACACUUCAGAAACAUUGAGUGACCUUUUCACCCAAGUAUGAAUAUUUUUUUAAACCUUACUACUUUGAUGAGUAAAAAAGUAGACUUUCAUAUUUACAUUAAUUUACUCUUCUUUAGCUAUCAAAGUAAUUCUUUUUUCAAAUCCUUAUUAGCAUUUUACAUUUUAUUCCUUCUUGAAGUAGACAUUGUGUGAGCCCGUGGACGGAGGCUGAGGAUGAUUAUGAGAUUCCUGGUACAAAGAUGCUCCCAGCUCAAUGCAGGUGACCCCAUGGCGAGAGCAGUGAGGGUCUGUGGAGGUUAGCUGAGCUACCUCAUCCAGAGGAGGAGCAGGUUGGGGGUGGUACCCGUUCCUGGUGAUGUUAGUUACCUAUUGCUGUGUAACAAAUUGCACAUUUAAAUGGAGACCCAUUAAAACGGAAUACCUUUUAAACCUGAUUGUGCGUGGUGGUGGUAGCAGUAAACUGAAGCAGGCACCGCCACACAGAAGCUGUCUGAGCUUGGCAAUCCCACAUUCUGGCUUCAAGCCAUGCGGUGCGACUGGUGCCAGGAGGGGGUGCAGGGAGAAGGAAAAGGCUGGACAGCUGGUAAAGGCCCGCCACCCCAGGUGGGAUGGGAAUGACAGGACAGAUUUUUAAGUAGGAGCGGGUGAGUGAGACAUGGGGAACUCCAUCCUGGAAGGGGUGCUUGGGGCUAGGAGGGAACAGGAAACAGGUGUCAUGGGUAAGGCCUGUGACCUGACCAGGACUUUUGAAUCUAAAAAUAUAUGUGUCAGGGGGUGUGAUUAUUAAAAUGUAGGAAUAUUACCCAAAAAUGAUGUUGACAUCAACGCUAAUUUUGGAUGCUGGAAAAUUAACCUAAUUAGCUCUUGCCUUUCCCUCCACACACUUUCCCUCGGCGGUUUCCUUGGUCCUGUGCCAUCACCUGCUUCUUUGGCAUGGCUGACUCCUAGAUCUGUAUUUCCAGCCUUGCCAUUUUCCUGCCACAUCUCCAACCUCCUGCUUGACAGCUCAGCCUGGUGGACUUCUCAGCACCUCAAACUUAGUAUGUACAAUACAGAACUUAUUUUCCUCCAAAACCUGCCAUCUUCCUUGCUGUCUCUUCUGGUCAAAGCGCCACCAGGCAUCCAGCCUGGGGCCCGAGGAGGGGAAGCCCAUGUGUCACAGAGAUAUGGCGUGCUCUGUGGGGAGGAACUUCAUGUGUGAGCAGAAGCAGGCAGCUGGCGACAAGCUGAAGAAAGGCGUUCAUCCCACACACAUGUGGGAAGCACCUCGGGUGCUCCAGGAGCUGCGUUUCUGGGCAUGGGGGCUCACUGGUGAAUAAGCCAGACGAGGUUCUCUGCCCCCCGGAGCUUUACUCAACAGGCCCCCAGGGUCGGCCCAGGAACAGCAAGCGGACCCUCUUACCAGAGCAUCAGGUAAAGCCUGUCCCUGUUUUGUCCUGCUGUGAGCUAACGAGUGUGCUGCUGUCAGCGUGGGGUCUGGAGCGUCAGACAGGGGGGUGACAUCACGGGGAACGGCAAGAAGCAACAAGCCCCAAAGGAGAUGACUAAGCAAGUAUGGCGGGCUGAGUAACGGCCCCCGAAAGGUGUCCACGUCUUCAUCCCCAGAACUUGUGAAUAUGUUACCUUACAUGGCAAAGGAACUUUCUAGAUGUAAUUAAGGAUCUUAAAAUGGUGAGAUUACACUAGAUUAUCCGGACGGGCCCAAUGUCAUCACAAGGACCCUGUGAAAGGGAGGCAAGUGUAAAGACAGGAGGAGGGGAAGGAUGAUGGAAGCAGAGGUUGGAGUGAUGCAGUUUGAGAUGGAAGAAGGGGCCAUGAGCCAAGGAACACAGGCAGCUUCUGGAAACUGGAAAACUCAAGGGAACAGAUUCUGCCCUGGAGCCUUCCCAAGGAAGGCAGGCCUGCGGACACCUUGAUUUUACCCCAUAAGGUUCGUUUUGGACUUCUGAUCUCCAGAGCUAUGAGACGAUAAAUUGGUGUCGUUUGACCCACUGUGCUUGUGUGACAACAGCAAUGGGAAACGAACCUAGCAGGCAGGCGGCUGGCUUGCCCCAGCUCCGGAGGUGUUGCAGGAGGACUCUUGACGACACAGCAAACACAGGAGCACCCACGGAGCAGAUUCCCUCGCCCUGAGUCCCGGGGAGAUGUGACGGGCCACAGUGACUCGUGCUGCAGUUAAGGAACCCAGGCUGGCGCUCAGCAGCUUUUGCAUCAAGCAAUAGCAGCCCCACCCUCAUGCGGGAGGGAGUGGAUGGACAGUAGUCCUGCUGCAUCACUGGACCUGCUUGGCUGUCUACGGGACCAGCUACAGCUGCAGCAGCAGCUCAGGCUCCGCUGGGCACGGACGUGCACAGACGCAGGGCCGGCUGGAUGGCCGCGGAGCUCACCUAGCCAACCCUCGGGCCCCCAGCCAGCUGCAGCGUCAGUGGGCGGCGGGGCCCAGGAGACGCACGUGUUCGGGCCAAGCCAGUGCCGUUUUGUCCUCCGGGCAGCUCCCUGCAGCUGCCGGGCUCCAUGAGUUCUUCCCGGAGGUCAAGAGCUGGGACUGCACAAGGGCUGGGAGAGUUCCCACAUGGUCUGCACAAAUGCCGCAGCGUCCAGGCAGAGCAGGGCCAGCGGCAGCUAGAGAUGCUCCCGACGGGCCAGGCUGGCCUCAAGGGCGCCUCUGUGCAGGCAGCUGGCUGGUUGACUCGAGGGCCAUGAGAGACCAGAGGCUGGGGGAACGACCAGCAGCCUCCAAGGAGGGCCCGAGGCUCUGCCUCCUCCUGCCGGGGCAGGUGUGUGGAGUGAGACAGUGGGAAGAACUGCCUCUCAGAUACUCCCCUGACUGCAGGGUUUGCGUUUCCGCCUCAGAGCAAGCUCCUGGGGCCUGGGCACGAGGAACUGAUGCCGACCCCGGGUCUGGGAGUUCAGAGGCCGGACAGUCAAGGAGUUAAGAGUGUGCAUGUCUGCCUGGACCCUGUUCUAUCUCACGAACUUAAGAAAAUCUCACUAAGAAAAAAGCAGACUGAAAAACAAUAUGUAUAGUAAGAUACCUUUUUUUGCUUAGAACUUUUAAAAAAUCUCUAUGUAUUUAGAAGAGCAUAGAAAAAAAAACCUACUGAAGAUUCCACCUUGCACUGAUUAUGACGGUCACCCCUGAGGACUGAGACUGACUUUAAGUGUGUGUUACUUUUUUUUUGGCUAAAACAUAAAGAUUUUUAAAAAUGUUCAAAGCACUCUAACUUCUAAUCCUACGGGAAAGAAUGUUCAUGUUUUAUCGAAAGAGAGACCAAAAUGUGCGGAGGGUCAUCUCUUCUGAAGGUCGUGAUAACUUCCUAACUUUUCAUCAAAUGGUCUCCAACCACCAGGCCAGUGGUAUGUAUUGAGAGCUACGCUUACUUCACGGGCUGUAAGUACAGCAGCAACUGGGACACGACUGCUAACGUGGUGGAAAGAAGUUAUGGCACAAGAAGGAUUUUUUUUAAGUCACCUAAAGUUCCUGUCAGAGUGGGAGCCUCAGCCUCUGGCGUUUCCUUCGUCAAGGUUGGCUGCUACGGCCUAUUCUUCACCUCAAUGCUUUCUUUCUAUUCCUUAUCGUGUGUAGAAUGCCCAUUUAACAUGAGGUGGUCAUGUGAUGUUUUUCCUGGAAAUUUAUUAUAAUUGCAAUGGUAGAUAUAUAAUCUAUACACACAAAGAAAAUAAACCUUCUAAUGAGGACUCAGGCUAACCACCUUAGGGAAUUGCUGUUUUUGAUUGUAUUUUAAGGCCAUUAAAAUAUCUGUUUAGUGAUUUAUUCACCCUGUAGACAGAUGUAGGGAUCAGUCUAUUUUUCACGUUACAGUGGAGUUUUCUUUUCAAAUAUUCUCCCUGGCCUUGUGGUGAAAUGUGCAUUAUGAUACUUCCUCAUCGUGACACAUGCAAAAGCGUUAUUCAUCAAAUGGUAUUUUCAAGCGUACUUCUCAUUAUUCUUUCAAGCACAUAAACAUAGCAAAGCCCUAGACUCUUGCCACAAUAUCAAAAGAAUUGAAGAUGUGGUGGAGCGCCUGACCUGCAUGGACCUGGAUUUUCGGGACAAGGUCACCGUAUUUCACAUGAACUUCUCUCCUGUUCUUUUCCCUUCUCCUCCCUCCCCCACGCCAAAUACAUAACUGUACUUGGUCUGAUGCUAAAUCAAGGUAAAUGAGACGUGACCUAUUAAAAAAGGAAAUGAAUUAUCGAAAGGGGAAAAUUGCAUUCCCGGCCGGGAGUGUGGACGUCAUGGCUUGAAUGUGUGUGUCUGUUCUGCCACUUCACUAGAUGGUCUUGCUUUUUGGGUGGCAUGUCUUCCAUCAUCCAAAUUGCCUCAUGAAGUCAGCAAAGUCAGUCAGACCAUGUUUUGGAGCUAUCUACUUUGUAUUUUUUUCCAAGGUUCUUUUUAAUGAAUGAAUGUAGUUAUAGCAGACCCGUCUUUAAGGGGUCUCUGGGAAUAGUCCUUAUUAAAUUCCCUACAACUUGAUCUAAGUCGGGAGUUAAAUGAUCUGUGUGAGCAGGCACACAGGUCAGGGUUUCACGGGCCAAACUCUUACUAGACUCCCGAAUAUCUUCCAAGUGCCAGUGGAGCCUGCCUGUCCUUCCAGCGGACUGUGGAGGAGGACGUAGGACUGUGAAGUUACUCCCAGGAAGUCACCCCAGGCAGUUCCUUCACAUCCUUGGGGCCAGCCUGAAUGGCACUGGACUCAUCCAAGGAGCCAGGUCUUUGCAAGUGGAGCAAAGAGCUGGAGGGCAGAGAUUCUCGGGCUGCAGGACCGGGAGAACGUUGUCCACGGUACUCUCCAUUAAAUGUCAGUGACCAGCUGGGCUUUGACCAGGCAACAAAGAGAAUCUGAUAGCCCAAGGAGGGGGCCAGUUCCUUAGGCUCUGUCCCUUGUCACUGUCUUGCCAUUUGUUGCAUUGUGGUCAUUCCAUAGCUUUUUCCUUUCUUUUUUUCUCUGUUUACUUGUAACAAAAGGGGAGGGGAGACAAACAGUUUUGGUACAUUAUAAUCAUUGAUAUUAUUUCCUUAUGGAAUGAAUAGUUCCUAUUAUUUCUAGCCAAUCCAGAUCAUUGUUGAGAAUAAUAAUAAAUAAAUCUUCCAUAUUAUGAUUGAAGCAAUCAUUAGAAAACAAACUUUCAUCGUGAGAUGUUUUGUAUUAGUCUUUUUAAAGCGGUGUGGGUGUGGUAGGGAGAAAGCCCCCUCAGGACUGGGCUGCCUCAGGAGGCACCCAGGGUGGGCGGGGAGCGCUCUCUGCAGCGAGAGCCCUUCUCAGUCAGGGGUCCUAGGGUUCUUACUUUGAAAUUACUUAAAGAGUGAAAUCAAGGAAGGAGAUGUGUUUGCAGGUGUCUUACAAAACCUGAAGUUGCAAAGCAGGUAGUGACUUGCCAGUGACAGCCAAAAGCAAGGUGCAAGGACCUUGUGAGUUUGCUGUUUCUCAGCUUCAGGCCGUAGUAUAAAGUUUUGGGAAAGUCAAUUCUCUUAGAAAAAGGACUCAGCUGUACUAAGUAUCAUGAAACAGCGAUACUUUAUCCUUAACGUAUUUUGUUUUUAGUGCAGUGGAGUCAGUUCUGACUCCCAGCAACCCUGGGACGGCAAAGCAGACCUCUGCUGGGUCUUUCUGUGCCAUCCUUUCGCCUUCUGGGGCUGUAUCAGACAGCGCUCCUCAGAUAUUCACAGGGUUUUCAUGGCCGAUUUUUCAGCAGUGGGUGGCCAGGUCCUCCUUCCUGGUCUUACUCUGGAAGCUCCACUGAAACCUGUCCACUAGGGGUGACCCUGCUGGUACUUGCAAUCCCCGUGGCAGAGCUUUCAGCAUCACAGCAGCAUGCAGCCACCACAGAGUGACAGCCGACAGACCGGUGGGGUGGCUCCCUGACUGGGACGUGAACUCGGGCCGUGGCUGUGAAAGAGCCCAGUGUUAACCACUAGACCACCACCUUGAUAUAUAAAUGCCCCUAAAUUUUUCAGAAAUCAAGAAAGAACUUAUUAAGAGUCUGGCGUUUAUAGAAUUACUAAACAGUGUCAAGUCACUGCCAGAGAUCGCCUCUAACACAGAACCUGCAAAUUAACGUAAGCAUUGAAUGCUAGUGAUUACCAUCGUUACAAUCAUGAUUGAAAUGGCCUACCUGUGCUUUUUACUCACACAUAGAUAUUUGCCUUAGAAAUAUGCCUGCUAAUUGCUAAGUUCUGAAAUAUAUAGGCUUGAGCUAAAUUUGGAUUUACUCUCUCUCUCUCUCAUGAUUAAAAACAACAACAUAACAGCUUUUUGGACUAUUUAUAAUAGCCCCAAACUGGAAACAACUCGAGUGUCCAGCAACAGAUGAGUGGAUGAGCGAAUUAUGGUGUCCAUAUAAUAGAAUACUACUCAGCAAUAGAAAAGAAUAAACUACCGCUAGACACAGCAACAUGAAUGAAUCUCAAAAACAUCAUGCUGAGAAAAAAACAGGCACAAAAGACUACACGCUGCCUGAUUCAAUAUGUAUGAAAUUCUAGAAAAAACAAAACGAAUCUGUAUUGACCGAAGGCGGAUCAGUGUUUGCCUGGGGCUGGGGUGGGGGAUUGCCAGCAAAGGAGCACAAAGCAGCUUUCUGGGUGAUGGAAUGUUCUGUAUCAUGAUUGUGGUUGUAAGGGUGUUUGCAUUUACCAAAAUGCAUCAAACUGUAUACUUAAAACGGGGGUAUUUUACUGAAUGUAAAUUUAUCUCAAUGAACUUGGUGUUGAAAGAAGAG